GAUGAACGCUGGCGGCGUGCCUAAUACAUGCAAGUCGAGCGAACGGACGAGAAGCUUGCUUCUCUGAUGUUAGCGGCGGACGGGUGAGUAACACGUGGAUAACCUACCUAUAAGACUGGGAUAACUUCGGGAAACCGGAGCUAAUACCGGAUAAUAUUUUGAACCGCAUGGUUCAAAAGUGGAAGACGGUCUUGCUGUCACUUAUAGAUGGAUCCGCGCUGCAUUAGCUAGUUGGUAAGGUAACGGCUUACCAAGGCAACGAUGCAUAGCCGACCUGAGAGGGUGAUCGGCCACACUGGAACUGAGACACGGUCCAGACUCCUACGGGAGGCAGCAGUAGGGAAUCUUCCGCAAUGGGCGAAAGCCUGACGGAGCAACGCCGCGUGAGUGAUGAAGGUCUUCGGAUCGUAAAACUCUGUUAUUAGGGAAGAACAUAUGUGUAAGUAACUGUGCACAUCUUGACGGUACCUAAUCAGAAAGCCACGGCUAACUACGUGCCAGCAGCCGCGGUAAUACGUAGGUGGCAAGCGUUAUCCGGAAUUAUUGGGCGUAAAGCGCGCGUAGGCGGUUUUUUAAGUCUGAUGUGAAAGCCCACGGCUCAACCGUGGAGGGUCAUUGGAAACUGGAAAACUUGAGUGCAGAAGAGGAAAGUGGAAUCCAUGUGUAGCGGUGAAAUGCGCAGAGAUAUGGAGGACCACCAGUGGCGAAGGCGACUUUCUGGUCUGUAACUGACGCUGAUGUGCGAAAGCGUGGGGAUCAAACAGGAUUAGAUACCCUGGUAGUCCACGCCGUAAACGAUGAGUGCUAAGUGUUAGGGGGUUUCCGCCCCUUAGUGCUGCAGCUAACGCAUUAAGCACUCCGCCUGGGGAGUACGACCGCAAGGUUGAAACUCAAAGGAAUUGACGGGGACCCGCACAAGCGGUGGAGCAUGUGGUUUAAUUCGAAGCAACGCGAAGAACCUUACCAAAUCUUGACAUCCUUUGACAACUCUAGAGAUAGAGCCUUCCCCUUCGGGGGACAAAGUGACAGGUGGUGCAUGGUUGUCGUCAGCUCGUGUCGUGAGAUGUUGGGUUAAGUCCCGCAACGAGCGCAACCCUUAAGCUUAGUUGCCAUCAUUAAGUUGGGCACUCUAAGUUGACUGCCGGUGACAAACCGGAGGAAGGUGGGGAUGACGUCAAAUCAUCAUGCCCCUUAUGAUUUGGGCUACACACGUGCUACAAUGGACAAUACAAAGGGCAGCGAAACCGCGAGGUCAAGCAAAUCCCAUAAAGUUGUUCUCAGUUCGGAUUGUAGUCUGCAACUCGACUACAUGAAGCUGGAAUCGCUAGUAAUCGUAGAUCAGCAUGCUACGGUGAAUACGUUCCCGGGUCU
rnacentral:rRNA from 1 species